rnacentral:rRNA from 1 species
UCUACGGGAGGCAGCAGUGGGGAAUAUUGGACAAUGGGCGAAAGCCUGAUCCAGCCAUGCCGCGUGUGUGAAGAAGGCCUUCGGGUUGUAAAGCACUUUCAGUGGGGAAGAAAGCCUUGGGGCUAAUACCCUCGAGGAAGGACAUCACCCACAGAAGAAGCACCGGCUAACUCCGUGCCAGCAGCCGCGGUAAUACGGAGGGUGCGAGCGUUAAUCGGAAUAACUGGGCGUAAAGCGCGCGUAGGCGGUCUGAUAAGCCGGUUGUGAAAGCCCCGGGCUCAACCUGGGAACGGCAUCCGGAACUGUCAGGCUAGAGUGCAGGAGAGGAAGGUAGAAUUCCCGGUGUAGCGGUGAAAUGCGUAGAGAUCGGGAGGAAUACCAGUGGCGAAGGCGGCCUUCUGGACUGACACUGACGCUGAGGUGCGAAAGCGUGGGUAGCAAACAGGAUUAGAUAACCCUAGUAGUC